UGGGGAAUAUUGCACAAUGGGCGCAAGCCUGAUGCAGCCAUGCCGCGUGUGUGAAGAAGGCCUUCGGGUUGUAAAGCACUUUCAGCGAGGAGGAAGGGCAGUGUGUUAAUAGCACAUUGCAUUGACGUUACUCGCAGAAGAAGCACCGGCUAACUCCGUGCCAGCAGCCGCGGUAAUACGGAGGGUGCAAGCGUUAAUCGGAAUUACUGGGCGUAAAGCGCACGCAGGCGGUCUGUUAAGUCAGAUGUGAAAUCCCCGCGCUUAACGUGGGAACUGCAUUUGAAACUGGCAAGCUAGAGUCUUGUAGAGGGGGGUAGAAUUCCAGGUGUAGCGGUGAAAUGCGUAGAGAUCUGGAGGAAUACCGGUGGCGAAGGCGGCCCCCUGGACAAAGACUGACGCUCAGGUGCGAAAGCGUGGGGAGCAAACA
rnacentral:rRNA from 1 species